CAGUCGCCACGGUAAUACAGAGGGUGCGAGCGUUAAUCGGAUUUACUGGGCGUAAAGCGUGCGUAGGCGGCUUCUUAAGUCGGAUGUGAAAUCCCUGAGCUUAACUUAGGAAUUGCAUUCGAUACUGGGAAGCUAGAGUAUGGGAGAGGAUGGUAGAAUUCCAGGUGUAGCGGUGAAAUGCGUAGAGAUCUGGAGGAAUACCGAUGGCGAAGGCAGCCAUCUGGCCUAAUACUGACGCUGAGGUACGAAAGCAUGGGGAGCAAACAGGAUUAGAUACCCCGGUAGUCCAUGUCUCUUAUAC
rnacentral:rRNA from 1 species